AUUGAACGCUGGCGGCAUGCCUUACACAUGCAAGUCGAACGGUAACGCGGGGCAACCUGGCGACGAGUGGCGAACGGGUGAGUAAUGCAUCGGAACGUGCCCAGUAGUGGGGGAUAGCCCGGCGAAAGCCGGAUUAAUACCGCAUACGACCUAAGGGUGAAAGCGGGGGAUCGCAAGACCUCGCGCUAUUUGAGCGGCCGAUGUCAGAUUAGGUUGUUGGUGGGGUAAAAGCCUACCAAGCCGACGAUCUGUAGCUGGUCUGAGAGGACGACCAGCCACACUGGGACUGAGACACGGCCCAGACUCCUACGGGAGGCAGCAGUGGGGAAUUUUGGACAAUGGGGGCAACCCUGAUCCAGCCAUGCCGCGUGCGGGAAGAAGGCCUUCGGGUUGUAAACCGCUUUUGUCAGGGAAGAAACGCUCUGGGUUAAUACCCCGGGGUAAUGACGGUACCUGAAGAAUAAGCACCGGCUAACUACGUGCCAGCCGCCGCCGUAAUAC
rnacentral:rRNA from 1 species